GAGUAGUGACGUUGAAGACUAACAGGAUUCCCCUAGUAACGGCGAGUGAAGCGGGAAGAGCUCAAAUUUAAAAUCUGUAAGGUUCAACCUUGCCGAAUUGUAGUUUGAAGAAGUGUUUUCCGCGGCGGCUGCAGUACAAAUCCUUUGGAACAGGGUAUCAGAGAGGGUGAGAAUCCCGUCUUUGACUGCAGACUAGUUGCACUGUGAUACACUUUCUAAGAGUCGAGUUGUUUGGGAAUGCAGCUCAAAAUGGGUGGUAAAUUUCAUCUAAAGCUAAAUAUUGGCAAGAGACCGAUAGCGAACAAGUACCGUGAGGGAAAGAUGAAAAGAACUUUGAAAAGAGAGUUAAAUAGUACGUGAAAUUGUUAAAAGGGAAACGCUUGAAGUCAGUGUUGCCGGCUGAAAAUCAGCUUCCUGCGGAUGGCUUGCUGCGGUGGAGGGAGUGUUAAAACCCCUUGCUGUAGUACAGUUAGCCGGAGGGAGUGCACUUUUUAGUCGGCAGGUCAACAUCAAUUUCAGCCGGUGGAAAAAAGCAAGUGGAAUGUAGGUU
rnacentral:rRNA from 1 species